rnacentral:rRNA from 1 species
AGGGAAUUUUGGGCAAUGGGGGAAACCCUGACCCAGCAACGCCGCGUGAGUGAUGAAGGCCCUCGGGUCGUAAAGCUCUGUCAGAGGGGAAGAACCACCAAUCGGUUAAUAUCCGGUUGGCCUGACGGUACCCUCAAAGGAAGCACCGGCUGACUCCGUGCCCGCAGCCGCGGUAAUACGGAGGGUGCAAGCGUUGUUCGGAAUUAUUGGGCGUAAAGCGCGUGUAGGCGGCUGUUUAAGUCUGAUGUGAAAGCCCUGGGCUCAACCCGGGAAGUGCAUUGGAAACUGGACAGCUUGAGUACGGGAGAGGGUAGUGGAAUUCCGAGUGUAGGGGUGAAAUCCGUAGAUAUUCGGAGGAACACCGGUGGCGAAGGCGGCUACCUGGACCGAUACUGACGCUGAGACGCGAAAGCGUGGGGAGCAA